rnacentral:lncRNA from 1 species
UGGGGUAACCAUAGAUUCCACCAUAGAGCAGUGUCCGGUGGAAGUCACCAACCAGGCUUCCGAUGUAUCUAGCAGAAUAAGGCUUGCCACUAGGACCAGGGUCUUUGAGGUCGUCGAUGUACUUCUUCAACUUGUCAUCCCACAGCUGGUAAUUGCCUUCAUUGAAUGCAUAAAUUUUUCCAGCUUUUGGGAUCUGAAUAUUCUCUUGAGUUAACACGAAUUCACCAUACAUGGGAUCCAAGGUGAAUGCAAACACCCCGUUGCCUAAGGUGAGCACAAAGAUUAUAGAGCUUGAGUACAUGCAGUAGCCAGCAGCUAGUAGAUUACUCCCUGGUUGGCACACGUUCACAACACAUCUUUGUUCAGUCGUAUCAAGCUGCAGGUUCCAUACAUGAAACAAUUAGGAUAUUUUUGCAUUUAAGUUUGGAAAUUCAAUGAAGUAGAUAUGGACUUACGGUGGAAUCAUCACUGAUAUCAGCCAGGCACUCAUCGUUGGGGCUGUAUAUUCCAAAAAUGGAACCUGUGGAAACAGCAGCAUCAAUGUUGGAUGAUCCAUCAAGUGGGUCAAAUACCACAAUAUAGUUUCCAGAGAAACUCUCUUCUACUGCCACUGGCACAUCCUCUUCCUCUGAUGCUAUAAUCCCUGUUCUUCCACUUGAUCUUAAGCAGUUGGAGAAUACCUGUAAAUGCAUAAGAAUCAGUUUCUGUGAUGCCUGGUAGCAUAAGCAUUCUUAUUUUCAAAUAAGUGUUGCCUAUUUUAUCCAAGCUUUCUAAGCAAAAGUAGUACCAAUUUCAAGAAUUCUUCACAUAAAAAAUUCUGAAAGCCAUUGAACUAUUCAAGGAAUGACAAAAUUGUAAUGUUUUAAUUUCGUUUUAGAGCAAGGGCGCCAUCAUUCAAUUAUAAGUUUGAGAAUGUCCAUGUUGUUUGAUUGCAGAACAUAACUCAUACAAAACUGAACUCAUGGUUGAUAACAAGACCUCAUUUGAAACGACGUCAAGCUUCUUCUGGUCCUCUCCUUGCACGUUGACAGCGCCCUGGACACCAGUCAAGUUGGAAAUGCUAGCCCUUUGCACCAAAGAAGCAAUCU